GCAGUGAGAGCUCUGGUUCAGGAAGUUCAUCUCCUUCUGGUCAAAGGUCAGCAGCAGUCUAGAUGUGGUUCCAGCAGGCUUCCAGCAGAGGGCGCAGUCAGCUGCAUAGUCACUUCCUCCACAUGGAUUGAGAUGAAAUGGAGCUUCGGGAAGCGACUGCAGAAAUAAUGAAAGCUGGAGACAUGCAAGAGUGACUGCGGUUGUGAGAGGAAAGUAAAGAGGAGGAUCAAAUGGUUGGAGGAAGAUAAUGAGCAGGAGAGAAGGAGGAAGCUGAGGAAUGUGGACUCAAAGGAGACCAA